rnacentral:sRNA from 1 species
CAUUGACUCAAAACUUUUGAAGAAAACAUUUCAAAUCUUCUCCGUUCACAGGAUUCUUCUGGUGUCAGAAGGCGGACACAUUUCUCUAGAUUGUCGUACAACGUAAUGUUGACGUCCUUUAGGUGACGAAAAGAUAUGAGAAGCGUUUGCUACGACUACCAACUUCCAAACGGCAUUUAUCCAGACCCCGGUAGCUGUUCUCACUAUGUGGAGUGCGUGUUCGGUAACACAUACCACUUGGCGUGUCCGGAUGGCCUAGAAUUCGAUUUCAAGGCCAAGUUGUGUGGGGAAGCCAACAGAAUCAACUGCGCGGACAACUACCACUUCUCUUUCACAGCCCACACUGGUUAAAGUGUUUCACAAGAUCUGAAGUGGACAGAGUUUCCAGGUUAAAAGCUAAAAUAAUAAUUUUAAAAAUUCUUAAUAUGACAAAAUAAACGUCUGUUUUCUCUUGCUGAAA